rnacentral:rRNA from 1 species
UACGUAGGGAGCAAGCGUUCUCCGGAUUUAUUGGGUGUAAAGGGUGCGUAGGCGGCUUGAUAAGUAUGUGAUCUAAGCCCGAAGCUUAACUUCGGUUCGUCACAUAAACUGUCUUGCUUGAGCAUGGUAGAGGCAAGUGGAAUUUCUAGUGUAGCGGUUAAAUGCGUAGAUAUUAGAAGGAACACCAGUGGCGAAGGCGACUUGCUGGGCCAUUGCUGACGCUGAGGCACGAAAGCGUGGGGAGC